CCAAGUAUCCGUAAUCCCAGCCAAGACAUCAUGUCAAGAAUAGAGAUGUUGUGUCAAGAGAAAAGAUAGAAAAAUAGCUUAUCUGUGUCUGAUUCUCGUGUGUCCUGAAGUCUUUGUGAUAUCCUGGAUUCUUGCAUUGUUGAUGGCAUCCUGUGAUCCUGAUUGUCUUCUCUGGUGUCUGUGUCCUCUUGUGAAGAAUGAUGGGCAGAACUGUGUCAGGUGUUUGCCACAGAGUGUGAGUGGGUGAUAGCAGUGCCUCAUUAAUUGGAAGGAAAAUCUUUAACAGGAGGAUGAUGUUCAAAAUAUCCACCAGAGUACAGGGACUCCUGGAUCUCUUCUAGCAAAAUAUUUAUGGAAUCUACUUUGUGCUUCAUGAAAUCCUGAAAAGUCCUAAAGUCAUUGGCAUAGGAUGGCAUCUCAUAUGAAGAGGAAGAGCACCUGAAUGAAGAAGGUCUGUGGUUCUUCCUUCUCUGCACUCACCUGGAGGAGACGCCAAGGGAGCUUCUGGUCCGGUGGGAGACAGGAAUCUCUACAGUUGACCUCACCUACUUGAGCAG